GUAAAGUAGCUCAUCCACCUGGCCGUCAGAGUCUCGCUCCACGAUGUCUCCGUCAGUCUGUUGACAGCUUCCCAGACUCUGAGCAGAGGGAGGCAACUGGGAUCUAGCUAGUUAUCCAGCUAGAAUGCAGCACUGGCCCGUCGUCUCCAGGAGGCGGCGCUGCUGAGAGGCGAGUGUUGGCGUCUGCUGAGCCGGCCAUGGAUGACUUCACCACCAGGACAUACGGCACCAGCGGCAUGGACAACAGACCUCUGUUUGGGGAGACCUCGGCACGGGAUCGAAUCAUCAACCUGGCAGUGGGGGGAUUCACGUCUCUGGUUGUUUUAGUGACUGUUAUCAGCUCUUUUGUGUUCCCCUCGUUGCCUCCACGACCGCUUAAUGUCUUCUUUGCCGUGUGCAUCCUGUUAGCAUGUGGAUCCAGUAUAGUGCUGAUAUUCUGGUACCGGCAGGGAGAUCUGGAGCCUAAAUUCAGGAAUCUGAUCUACUUCAUGCUGGGAUCCAUCGUGCUGCUGUGUCUAUGUGCCAACCUCUACUUCCACGAUGUCAGGUAAAGACGAAGAGGAAGAGGAGGAAGAAGAAGAAGGGAAGACAUGGCCUUGACACAUUGGAAGGACUACAUGGAGAGACAGACUCAUCACACACUUGAAUGAAUGCAUUUCCUGCCUGACCUGCAGCAACCUGAAGAUUCUUGGACCAAAACCAGUGCAGCUUAAUGGUUCCACUGGGGUGCAAACUGAAGAGUUGUUGGUGCUGAAACAUAAUGAACUGCACACACACACACACACACACACACACACACAACGUACUGUUAGAGGCCAUAAAUCUGCCUGGAGACACGCUGCUGGAGGAUGAAACAGCUUCCGUUUACAGACCUGCAGUAAACACACCGUGACAAACCGCUUAGUGCAAAAACAAACUGAGGAGGAAACAAACCCCGUCUGUCAACUCGCCACGACUUUAGGAUUGUCAAAGCCAUGUGUUUCUUUUUUUAUUUAUUUCAUUUAUUGUAUGGAAUAAAUAAUUGUGUACCCUGA